rnacentral:rRNA from 1 species
CAAAGGAAUUGACGGGGACCCGCACAAGCAGUGGAGCAUGUGGUUUAAUUCGAUGCAACGCGAAGAACCUUACCCAGGCUUGACAUGCAGAUGACCGCUCUAGAAAUAGAGUUUCCUUCGGGACAUUUGCACAGGUGCUGCAUGGCUGUCGUCAGCUCGUGCCGUGAGGUGUUGGGUUAAGUCCCGCAACGAGCGCAACCCUUAUCAUUAGUUGCCAACAGGUGAAGCUGGGAACUCUAAUGAGACUGCCUGGGUUAACCAGGAGGAAGGUGAGGAUGACGUCAAGUCCGCAUGGCCCUUAUGUCUGGGGCUACACACGUGCUACAAUGGUCGGUACAGAAGGCAGCGAAACCGCGAGGUGAAGCAAAUCCAACAAAGCCGAUCUCAGUUCAGAUUGUAGUCUGCAACUCGACUACAUGAAGACGGAAUUGCUAGUAAUGGCGAGUCAGCAACAUCGCCGUGAAUACGUUCCCGGGUCUU